GGCAGAGUGGUUUAGUGGUUUGAGCAUUAGACUCUCAAGACCAGGGUUCAAAUCCUGGCUCGGCCA